rnacentral:rRNA from 1 species
GAUGAACGCUGGCGGCGUGCUUAACACAUGCAAGUCGAACGGAAAGGCUCCUGCUUGCAGGGGUACUCGAGUGGCGAACGGGUGAGUAACACGUGGGUGAUCUGCCCUGCACUUCGGGAUAAGCCUGGGAAACUGGGUCUAAUACCGGAUAGGACCACAUUUUGGAUGGUGUGGUGGAAAGUUUUUCGGUGUGGGAUGAGCUCGCGGCCUAUCAGCUUGUUGGUGGGGUAAUGGCCUACCAAGGCGUCGACGGGUAGCCGGCCUGAGAGGGUGUACUGCCACAUUGGGACUGAGAUACGGCCCAGACUCCUACGGGAGGCAGCAGUGGGGAAUAUUGCACAAUGGGCGCAAGCCUGAUGCAGCGACGCCGCGUGGGGGAUGACGGCCUUCGGGUUGUAAACUCCUUUCGCUAGGGACGAAGCGCAAGUGACGGUACCUGGAGAAGAAGCACCGGCUAACUACGUG